rfam:Cavia porcellus supercont2_165 genomic scaffold, whole genome shotgun sequence.
GGGGAUUUAGCUCAGCAGCAUAAGCACCUGCCUGGCAAGCACGAGGUCAUGAGUUUGAUUCCCAGUAUCGCCA